rnacentral:rRNA from 1 species
CCUACGGGAGGCAGCAGUGGGGAAUCUUGCGCAAUGGGCGAAAGCCUGACGCAGCCAUGCCGCGUGAAUGAUGAAGGUCUUAGGAUUGUAAAAUUCUUUCACCGGGGACGAUAAUGACGGUACCCGGAGAAGAAGCCCCGGCUAACUUCGUGCCAGCAGCCGCGGUAAUACGAAGGGGGCUAGCGUUGCUCGGAAUUACUGGGCGUAAAGGGAGCGUAGGCGGAUAGUUUAGUCAGAGGUGAAAGCCCAGGGCUCAACCUUGGAAUUGCCUUUGAUACUGGCUAUCUUGAGUACGGAAGAGGUAUGUGGAACUCCGAGUGUAGAGGUGAAAUUCGUAGAUAUUCGGAAGAACACCAGUGGCGAAGGCGACAUACUGGUCCGUUACUGACGCUGAGGCUCGAAAGCGUGGGGAGCAAACAGGAUUAGAUACCCUGGUAGUCCACGCUGUAAACGAUGAGUGCUAGUUGUCGGCAUGCACGCAUGUCGGUGACGCAGCUAACGCAUUAAGCACUCCGCCUGGGGAGUACGGUCGCAAGAUUAAAACUCAAAUGAAUUGACGG